CAUUAAUAGUACUUUACAACUGCUAUCCGCCUGGGUACUACGAGCAUCAGCUUAAAACCCAAAGGACUUGGCGGUGCUUUAGAUCCACCUAGAGGAGCCUGUUCUAGAACCGAUAACCCCCGUUCAACCUCACCCUUUCUUGUUUAUCCCGCCUAUAUACCACCGUCGUCAGCUUACCCUGUGAAGGCCCUAUAGUAAGCAAAAUUGGCAAAGCCCAAAACGUCAGGUCGAGGUGUAGCGUAUGAAAGGGGAAGAAAUGGGCUACAUUCUCUAAACAAGGGAAUCACGAAUAAUUCAUUGAAACAUGAAUCUGAAGGAGGAUUUAGCAGUAAGCGGAAAAUAGAGCGUUCCGCUGAAACUGGGCCUGAAGCGCGC
rnacentral:rRNA from 1 species